UUAAUCGAUGAUACGCGAGGAACCUUACCUGGGCUUAAAUGUAGAGUGCAUUUUUUAGAGAUAGAAAUUCCCUUCGGGGCUUUCUGCAAGGUGCUGCAUGGUUGUCGUCAGCUCGUGCCGUGAGGUGUCGGGUUAAGUCCCAUAACGAGCGCAACCCUUAUCGUUAGUUGCCAUCUGGUAAUGCAGGGGACUCUAGCGAAACUGCCGCCGUAAGGUGAGAGGAAGGUGGGAUGACGUCAAAUCAGCACGGCCCUUAUGUCCAGGGCUACACACGUGUUACAAUGGUCGGUACAGAGGGCAGCUACCUGGUGACAGGAUGCUAAUCUCGAAAAACCGGUCUCAGUUCGGAUCGAAGUCUGCAACUCGACUUCGUGAAGCUGGAUUCGCUAGUAAUCGCGCAUCAGCUAUGGCGCGGUGAAUACGUUCCCGGGCCUU
rnacentral:rRNA from 1 species